UCUCUGUGUGUAUGUGUUACGUCCUCCUGCCUUAGGGGUCGCUAUUUUACCUUGUUUUUAUUUCUGUUACUUUGCCUACUGCUGUAAUUGUGUGCAGGUGUUGCCUGUCAGCCGUGGGCGGAGCCUGAUAUGUUUUAAGGCCGGGAUCGCCGACCAGAAGGCCUCUCUCCUUCACCUGCGUGCCGCCACGCUAUUCAGCCUUCCUCGUCGUUCUACUUUGUCUUUGAAAUUCUCUGUUCGAUAUCGCCUUUUUGUUUAUUAAAUCCCCCUAGAAACGAGCCCAUUCUGUCUUGUCAUUUGUUGCAUAUCAGCGGAGCUGGUUUGUAACACAAAGACUCUGACAAGUCUAGUGCAAGCAUAUAAUGUAAGCCUGCCUCUGAGAUAGUAGUACCUUGGUCGGUAAGGGUGCAUAAAGAUUCCUAUCAUAACUUAUGAAAAAAAAUUGUGUGUGUGAAAAGUCAUCCAAACAUUUCUCCAAGGUGCCCUGAGUUAAGUCAUGUGAAACUUAAUUAGGAGGGGUGCUCGAAUAAAUCUCCCUGUGUGAUGGCUGGUGACUUCCUGAAAAGUCCCAUUUCUUUCUAGAUGGUGGAGUUGUGAGAGCGGUGACCUUUUUAUCCGCAGUAAAGGUCACGGAACAAGGAGUCUCUUCUAGCUGAUUCUCAGCCCUGCUCAGGAAAGGUAGAGGCAGCCCAGGCUGUGGGGACAGACUCCAACCAAAGGGAGGAGAAAUAGAGACGUCAUAUUAGCUGGAGGACAUCUCUCUCUCUCAUUUUUCCUCUCUCUAGAGCUUCUCUGUCACAGAGUAUUACUCUCUCUCUCUCUCUCUCUCUCUCUCUAUCUCACACACACACACACGAACACACACAUACGAACAAA